CCUACGGGAGACAGCAGUGGGGAAUCUUCCGCAAUGGGCGAAAGCCUGACGGAGCAACGCCGCGUGAUCGAAUGAAGGCCUUCGGGUUGUAAAGAUCUGUUGACAGGGACGAAUAAGCAAUGCGAAUAGUUUUGUGUAUGACGGUACCUGACUAAGAAGCCCCGGCUAACUACGUGCCAGCAGCCGCGGUAAUACGUAGGGGGCAAGCGUUAUCCGGAUUUACUGGGUGUAAAGGGAUCGUAGACGGCAGGGCAAGUCUGAAGUGAAAGCCCGCGGCCCAACGGCGGGACUGCUUUGGAAACUGGCCGGCUGGAGUGCUGGAGAGGUAAGCGGAAUUCCUGGUGUAGCGGUGAAAUGCGUAGAUAUUAGGAGGAACACCAGUGGCGAAGGCGGCUUACUGGACAGUAACUGACGUUGAGGCUCGAAAGCGUGGGGAGCAAACAGGAUUAGAUACCCUGGUAGUC
rnacentral:rRNA from 1 species